GUCCGAUUAGUUAGUUGGUGAGGUAACGGCUCACCAAGACGAUGAUCGGUAGCUAGUCUGAGAGGAUGAUUAGCCACACGGGAACUGAGACACGGUCCCGACUCCUACGGGGGGCAGCAGUGAGGAAUAUUGCACAAUGGACGAAAGUCUGAUGCAGCAACGCCGCGUGGAGGAUGAAGGUCUUUGGAUUGUAAAGCUCCUUUUCUCAGGGAAGAGAAUGACGGUACCUGAGGAAUAAGUCACGGCUAACUACGUGCCAGCAGCCGCGGUAAUACGUAGGUGGCGAGCGUUAUCCGGAAUUACUGGGCGUAAAGCGCACGCAGGCGGCUUUUCAAGUUCGACGUGAAAGCUCCCGGCUUAACUGGGAGAGGUCGUUGAGAACUGAGAGGCUUGAGGCAAUGAGAGGGGUGUAGAAUUCCCGGUGUAGUGGUGGAAUGCGUAGAUAUCGGGGGGAAUACCAGUGGCGAAAGCGGCACCCUAG
rnacentral:rRNA from 1 species